AUACGUAGGGGGCGAGCGUUGUCCGGAAUGACUGGGCGUAAAGGGCGUGUAGGCGGUUGUCUAAGUCUGGAGUGAAAGUCCUGCUUUCAAGGUGGGAAUAGCUUUGGAUACUGGAUGACUUGAGUGCGGAAGAGGUAAGUGGAAUUCCCAGUGUAGCGGUGAAAUGCGUAGAGAUUGGGAGGAACACCAGUGGCGAAGGCGACUUACAGGGCCGUAACUGACGCUGAGGCGCGAAAGCGUGGGGAGCGAACAGGAUUAGAUACCCUGGUAGUCCACGCGGUAAACGAUGAAUGCUAGGUGUUGCGGGUAUCGACCCCUGCAGUGCCGGAGUAAACACAAUAAGCAUUCCGCCUGGGGAGUACGGCCGCAAGGUUGAAACUCAAAGGAAUUGACGGGG
rnacentral:rRNA from 1 species